UACAGAGGCCCCAAGCGUUAUCCGGAAUCACUGGGCGUAAAGGGUGUGUAGGUGGUUUUGUUAGUCUCUAGUUAAAGCUCUCGGCCCAACCGGGAAAGUGCUAGGGAAACGGCAAGACUAGAGGAUGCGAGGGGUCUGUGGAACUCAUGGAGUAGGGGUGAAAUCCGUUGAUAUCAUGGGGAACACCAAAAGCGAAGGCAGCAGACUGGCGCAUUCCUGACACUGAAACACGAAAGCGUAGGUAGCGAAUGGG
rnacentral:rRNA from 1 species